GCGUAAAGGGCUCGCAGGCGGUUUCUUAAGUCUGAUGUGAAAGCCCCCGGCUCAACCGGGGAGGGUCAUUGGAAACUGGGAAACUUGAGUGCAGAAGAGGAGAGUGGAAUUCCACGUGUAGCGGUGAAAUGCGUAGAGAUGUGGAGGAACACCAGUGGCGAAGGCGACUCUCUGGUCUGUAACUGACGCUGAGGAGCGAAAGCGUGGGGAGCGAACAGGAUUAGAUACCCUGGUAGUCCACGCCGUAAACGAUGAGUGCUAAGUGUUAGGGGGUUUCCGCCCCUUAGUGCUGCAGCUAACGCAUUAAGCACUCCGCCUGGGGAGUACGGUCGCAAGACUGAAACUCAAAGGAAUUGACGGGGGCCCGCACAAGCGGUGGAGCAUGUGGUUUAAUUCGAAGCAACGCGAAGAACCUUACCAGGUCUUGACAUCCUCUGACAACCCUAGAGAUAGGGCUUUCCCUUCGGGGACAGAGUGACAGGUGGUGCAUGGUUGUCGUCAGCUCGUGUCGUGAGAUGUUGGGUUAAGUCCCGCAACGAGCGCAACCCUUGAUCUUAGUUGCCAGCAUUCAGUUGGGCACUCUAAGGUGACUGCCGGUGACAAACCGGAGGAAGGUGGGGAUGACGUCAAAUCAUCAUGCCCCUUAUGACCUGGGCUACACACGUGCUA
rnacentral:rRNA from 1 species